rnacentral:rRNA from 1 species
CUACGGGCGGCAGCAGUCGAGGAUAUUCCCCAAUGGCCGAAAGGCUGAGGGAGCGACGCCGCGUGCUUGAAGAAGCCCUUCGGGGUGUAAAGAGCUUUUAUAGAGGAUGAAUCCCGCUUUACAGCGGGAUGACAGUACUCUAGGAAUAAGGAGACACUAAUCACGUGCCAGCAGUGGCGGUAAUACGUGAUCUCCCAGCGUUAUCCGGAUUUAUUGGGCGUAAAGCGUUCGUAGGCGUUUCGUAAAGUUUUUUGUUAAAUACCCAAGGCUUAACCUCGGGAGUACAAAAAAAACUAACGGAAUAGAGGAUGUUAGGGGCUGGCGGAACGGUCGGUGUAGGGGUGAAAUCCGUUGAUAUCGACCGGAACACCGAAAGCGAAGGCAGCCAGCUGGAGCAUUCCUGACGCUGAGGAACGAAAGCGUGGGUAGCGAAUGGGAUUAGAUACCCGCGUAGUC